AUUGAACGCUGGCGGUAUGCCUUACACAUGCAAGUCGAACGGUAGAUGGGCAACCCUUGAGAGUGGCGAACGGGUGAGUAAUACAUCGGAACGUGCCCAGUCGUGGGGGAUAACGUAGCGAAAGCUACGCUAAUACCGCAUACGACCUGAGGGUGAAAGCGGGGGAUCGCAAGACCUAGCGCGAUUGGAGCGGCCGGUGGCAGAUUAGGUAGUUGGUGGGGUAAAGGCCUACCAAGACUGCGAUCUGUAGCUGGUCUGAGAGGACGACCAGCCACACUGGGACUGAGACACGGCCCAGACUCCUACGGGGGGCAGCAGUGGGGAAUUUUGGACAAUGGGCGAAAGCCUGAUCCAGCCAUACCGCGUGCGGGAAGAAGGCCUUCGGGUUGUAAACCGCUUUUGUCAGGGAAGAAAUCUUCUGGGCUAAUACCUCGGGAGGAUGACGGUACCUGAAGAAUAAGCACCGGCUAACUACGUGCCAGCCGCCGCCGUAAAAC
rnacentral:rRNA from 1 species